ensembl:snoRNA small nucleolar RNA SNORD103/SNORD85
CCUGAUGAUGAUGAGACACUUGCCCUCACUGAGAGCACAGCUCACUUAUGAGAACAUCAGUACUCAAGAUCUGAGUCAGG